UCCGUAGGUGGAUUGAUAAGUCAGAGGUGAAAUCCCACAGCUUAACUGUGGAACUGCCUUUGAAACUGUUAGUCUUGAGUUAUAUGGAAGUAGAUAGAAUGUGUAGUGUAGCGGUGAAAUGCAUAGAGAUUACACAGAAUACCGAUUGCGAAGGCAGUCUACUACGUAUAUACUGACGCUAAUGGACGAAAGCGUGGGGAGCGAACAGGAUUAGAUACCCUGGUAGUCC
rnacentral:rRNA from 1 species